UACGUAGGUGGCAAGCGUUGUCCGGAUUUAUUGGGUUUAAAGGGUGCGUAGGCGGCUUUGUAAGUCAGUGGUGAAAUAUGGCAGCUCAACUGUCAGGGUGCCAUUGAUACUGCGGAGCUUGAGUACAGAUGAGGUAGGCGGAAUUGACGGUGUAGCGGUGAAAUGCAUAGAUAUCGUUAAGAACACCGAUAGCGAAGGCAGCUUACCAAGCUGUAACUGACACUGAGGCACGAAAGUGUGGGGAUCAAACAGG
rnacentral:rRNA from 1 species